GGAGCGGUGUCCGAGUGGUUUAAGGAGGCGGUCUUGAAAACCGUUGAGCCGAGAGGUUCCGGGGGUUCGAAUCCCCCCUGCUCCG
rnacentral:tRNA from 1 species